UUUAUUUAUUUUUUUUAUAAAUAUCAUCUAAUUUGUUAUAGCUUAUUUUAUCACUAGAGUAGUAAUAAUGAUUUAUUUAUUUAUUUUAUAAUUUACCUAAAUUUUUUAAAUAAGAUGAAUGGUCAAACACGAUGUAAGUAAAAAAAUGUCACUCUUUUUAUAACGAAGAGAGUAGGUAUUAAACAUGUAGUUUUUUAGGAGAGCAUGUAGUUGAAAACUAGAAGCAGGAUGCUUGAUUACAUAGGGUGGCCCUUAUACUUUGAACAUUCGUAGAAAUAUGUGGUACAAUUUGGCACUUGCAUCGGACCUACAUUCAUAC
rnacentral:lncRNA from 1 species